ACUCCUUGCCCCAUCUAUACCAGCUAGAAAGAUGGCUCCCAAAUACCUCUGGGGUUACAAAUAAUAUUUCCACAAAGGAAGAGGGAAAAAUUGUACUUUGGAUUCUCUGCCCUGUUGCUAUAGUAGCAAAAGGAAUCAAUAUUUAAUAGUUUGUCAACUAAAUGCCAAGGCUUGCUGGGUGCUCAAUGUUCCUGUGUCCCAUUUUCAUCUGCACAAUAAAUCUAUGAUAUAGAUAUUUGUAGAAGGAAAACAAGCCCCUAGAGAUUAAGAAUUGUUUCUAAAAUCACCAAGCAUUGGCAGGGCUCAGAAACAAAUUAUUUACUGGGAACUGCUCUUAGAGUUACAUUUACCAAGGCUAAUUAGCAAUUACUUAUGCAGUGUGUUGUGACACCUUAGUUUCUAUUAUUGCUAUUUUUAAAAUGUAUUUACAAAUACAAUACUGGUUUUUGCAUCCCCCUUUCAGGGUUAUACAAACAAUAGGCUCUAAUAUAGUUGCUAAGUUCAAUUUACAAGAAAAAUAAAAAUACCAACAUGCCUCUUUCCCUCUCCACUUCUUCAUGUGAACUCCUAUGUCACUGAGAUGACCAUAACAUCUCUUCUACAUUAAAAGUUUUCAAUGAGUCUUUUAGAGAAAAGGAUAGGAUGUGAGUUUUCUCAAAAGGAAAAUAUCCCACAUUUCAUAAUAAAAGUCCACAGGAAAUAGGAAUCCUUUAACAUAAAUGAACAGUUACUAGCAUAAAUAAUCUGAACUCUCUUUUUUUUUGAGAUGGAGUUUCGCUCUUGUUGCCCAGGCUGGAGUGCAAUGGCAUGAUCUCAGCUCACCCCAACCUCCGCCUCCCGAGUUCAAGCGAUUCUCCUGCCUCAGCCUCCCAAGUAGCUGGGAUUAUAGGCAUGCGUCACCACACCUGGCUAAUUUUGUAUUUUUUGGUAGAGACGGGGUUUCUCCAUGUUGGUCAGGCUGGUCUCUAACUCCCGACCUCAGGUGAUCCACCCGCCUCGGCCUCCCAAAGUGCUGGGAUUACAGGCGUGAGCCCCCAUGCCCAGCCAACAAUCUGAA
rnacentral:lncRNA from 10 species